CUUCUAUUUGAGGGGUGAGCCCGCUGUACUGCUUCGUUGCCAUUCCUUGAUCAGCAGCAGCAGGACGAUACCAUCCAUACCCCUCCCCCACACACGCGAACACACACGCGCUUCACUGCGUUGCGAGUAAAUGUGCGCUCUGCUUGAUCUCUACCCUCUCGUUGCCAGAACCUGUCGUUAGCCUUUAUUCGUGUCAUCUAUAUUUAUUUAUUGGCGAGAAGGCACCCGCUGAACGCCAUUGUGUGCGCCUGCCUUAGAUACCCCCGCGCACACACGCGCGCCGACACUAGAUAUUGCUCACCUACAACGAUAUACACAUCUACACACACACACACAUAUAGAGAUAGGCUCACUCGCUCUCACGCAAAUAGCAGCCAACGUGCGUCUUUGGGUGGAUGGAGGAGAGGAGGGGGAGCGUGCGUGCGUAGUGAUCAGCAGCAGAGAACGGCUCGCUUGCACAGCUGCUUGCUCGUUGUUGCCACUCUUUUCUUUUUCUCUUCUUCUUGGUGAAUGCGAGUGGAACGGUCGGGCCUGCGCGCGCACGGGACCGGACGCUCUCUGGCUCAUCCAGACGGUUCUCGUGUUCCUGAGAAAACAACUGUACCUUCAAGAGCUUCGCUGGAUGCCGACCUCCGGGUCACCAUCAUCACCACGAUCGCCAGAAGCUCCGAAGGCGACACGCGCUCAUCGACUCUGUGGCUGCGGCGCAUCCGUGUACAACCAACCACUCACAGCACAAAAUAAACAACCACCAUACCUAGAGCAGCAUCUCAACCAUGCAUAAUGGGCACCAUCGCAAAAUCGAUGGGCAUCUCGACAGUAUUGAAGACUAUCUGCGUCGCAUGGCGCGGCCACCACGGACACGAUACGACCCACCUUCACUGCAUCAGGUACCCCGCACCGCUUUCUUCCUCGUGAGUAGCAGCCAUGAGGGCGGCCCUUCUUAUCAGUCCGCCAACGAGCAGGCAGGGCUGCAGGCCAGCACGGCCUACAAUAUGCCGCCCUCUUGUGCCGGGCUGCUGUCAACUCCAGCGAGCACCUUGGCGGCUCCCCGAGCGAUGCGAGACUCCACUGCAGUGAGAACAGCCGCAGCACACCAUGCGGAUCCCGCCUCAGCGCUGUUCACGGGCAUUCGACCGCCGACCUCGUCGCUUACAAGGCUUCCACGUGCGCUGGCGGAGGCUGCACCCCCUCACACUGCUGCUCUUCUCUCUUCAAGAGCUAAAUUUCCGUCCUUUUCGCAGCAAGAGACCACACACAUGCACCGCCGUGGCUGCAGCAACGAUAGCAGCAGCAGCACCAGUGCCAGCGAGACGGCACACGAGAAAGGUACGACGCCAGUGUCCAACUCCACCGCUGCGUCAAGCCUCCUCAUACCAGCAGUGCGGCCGCCGCCGCUAGCGUCCCUUGAAGGCGCUGCUGCAGCCCGUGAACAGGCAGCCGUGGUGCCCGCACGGCGUCGGAGCUAUGGCCCGCGCAGCCCCUCGCCUUUUGCGUCCUCCCAGGACAAGAGCCGAGGUCGCAGCAUGAGGGCCAUCUUGGAGGGGCUCGAGGAGCACCUACGAGCUUCACCUCUGCUAUCGCGAUCGCCACAACAAAUGGAUUCCGACCGUCACCCCGGCAGCAGCCGGCACCCUCACGAGCGCAGCAGUGUUCACCCAACGUCGCUGCCGCAGUGGGGGAUCACCGAGCUGCCUCACUACAGAGAGGAUGAUUCGGCAGCCCGCGAAAGAGCUGUGCAUAUCAUGGGGGAUCUCGCCACGGCGACAUCACCCAUGGCAGAUGAUCAUCUCUCGUCGCUGCUCUCUUCGCUGGGUGGCAGCCCAAAUUCCUGUGAAACACCGUUUCGCCGUCGCCUCCGUCACCUCGACCAUCUUCUCGGCGACGGUGCAGCGCACCGUGAUGCCACCUCCACACCGCGGUCUUGCUACCGUCACGAUGACAUCUCUGCCUUGGCAGGCACAUACGGUAGCAGCGAGCCCCGAGCCACUCGAUGCCGUGACCCGCCCGCUGCGGAAGAAUCUUUAACGAAGAGAAGGCUGCUGCCGGCGGAAAGCCGCACUGCGACAGGCACAUUGGCGGUGCCGCCGAUAGCACAGCCAACGAGCAUGCCUUCAGUGUUCUACGCAAACGUGCCCGACGAGAAACCUCACCUCCGCCGAGCGUACACCGCGCGUCUCGAGGCAGCCUCCGGCGCAGAUGUCGCGACACCGCUGCGUCUCGAGACAGCCUCCGGCGCCGACGUGCCGACUCCCUCGCGUCUCGAGGCAGCCUCCGGCGCAGAUGUCGCGACACCGCUGCGUCUCGAGACAGCCUCCGGCGCAGAUGUCGCGACACCGCUGCGUCUCGAGGCAGCCUCCGGCGCCGACGUGCCGACUCCCUCGCGUCUCGAGGCAGCCUCCGGCGCAGAUGUCGCGACACCGCUGCGUCUCGAGACAGCCUCCGGCGCCGACGUGCCGACUCCCUCGCGUCUCGAGGCAGCCUCCGGCGUAGAUGUUGCGACACCGCUGCGUCUCGAGACAGCCUCCGGCGCCGACGUGCCGACUCCCUCGCGUCUCGAGGCAGCCUCCGGCGUAGAUGUUGCGACACCGCUGCGUCUCGAGGCAGCCUCCGGCGCAGAUGUUGCGACACCGCUGCGUCUCGAGGCAGCCUCCGGCGCCGACGUGCCGACUCCCUCGCGUCUCGAGACAGCCUCCGGCGCCGACGUCUCCACACCAGCCCGCGGGGGUGCCGAGGACAACGCGGCUGCUGGGAAUCUCGGUUUGCAAGAUAAAGUGUCCGUGGAUGCUUCGAGGCUGAGCAGAAGUUUAGGUGUGAGUGACGGGAGCGAAGGGCUUCCGGGUGCUGAGCGGCAUCGCGGUGUUGACGAAGCGAAUGAAGCGGUGGGCCUAGACGCUGAAGGAGACGUGCUGGCCACACUGAACACCUUCCGUUCGGCGGAUGUGCACGACAGCCCCAUCCCUUCAUCUCUGCAACAGCAGGAGCAGUUGUCGGUGGGAUCGGUCAGCACGGAGUUGACCGCAUUGACUGUCAUCAGCAUCGAGGGAGGCCUUUGUGGGCCCAGUCGCAGUGGCAGAGGCGACGUGAGCAACGAAGAGGACGUGAGCGGCGGCCGGUGUCUGGCGACGCGUCUCUGGGCACGGCGGCAAGGUGCGCGGGCUGCGCAGCAGCUGCUUGCCCUGCGGAAGCGCGAGCGUCAGCACCGGCAGAGCGUGGUAAAGCGGGAAGUCGAGGGACGUUACGCGAUUCGGCUCCGCGAGGCCAGCGAUGCGGCUGAUGUUGGUUUGGAGUGGCUGCGAGGCGCGGACGAAGACACUGUGACAGCCACGAGCUUCACGCUCUCCAGCUCUCCAUCUCGGCUCGUCAGGCAGCUGCCGCAUCGCGCGAAGGACGGCAGUCGCAGCGAAACGGUCGGAAGUCGAAGGAUCGAUCGCUUAGCGGAUGAUGGCGCCACAGCCGAGGUAAGUCGGUAUGAAAGCCGCAGCAGCGGAAGCGGUCGCACACUGUCAAGCUCGAAGAGCAGUAUGUCUGUCAUCGACGAUGCAGAGCAGCAGCGUGCUUUCAAGAGGGCAUGUCCCGUCGGUCGCGAGGCUCAAGCACUGGUGCCAUCUUUUGAAGUGGCAACGGGAGCUGCCGCUGAGGACGCCGCAAUGGCGGAGAGGCACGACUCUCCGGCUGCAUCGCUCACCGGGGCACCAGGGACGGCUGUGUGCGAAGUUGGCCAACCGGGAGGGACCCCUGCGCCGGAAGGCGCGAUCGCUCGCGCAGGUGACGAGCGCACACAGCAGCAGGAGUCUGACUACGCGGCCACAACCGACUUGGCCGUAAAGCCCACGGCUGCAGCAAAGGAAGACGUGUCGCCGCCUUCUCCCCAUAAACUGCUCUCCUCUCACUUGAAGGGUGCGCUCAGCUGUAGUGUCGAGGCUGCCGCGGAUACGCCAGUCGACGAGACGGUGCACGCGGCAGCAGCCGCACCUCAGGGAGAUGACGGGGUGUCUAACGCCCACGUCGCCGACGCACCAAUGCCGCGCCCGCCACCGUCACCGCUGGAGGGACAUUCCUCACCUCCCUCCGACCUGUGGACUCUCGACAAGGGGGAGAGCGAGGGCGACGGUGGCGAAGAGGAGACGGAGGCAAUGAUGACGUCGGAGGGCCAUAAAAGAAGCAGUGGUAACGAUGAGUAUGAAGGCAGCAAGCACGCGAGUGGCGGCAGCAGCUCCGCUGGACGCUCCAUCCCGUCAGGAGCAGGUCCGCUUCCUGCAAGAGCGGCUGCCACCGCGGCGGACAACGACGCCCAGCCCCCAUCGCCCUCCAGCGGCGAUAAGAGGAUCAGCAGUAGCAUCAGCAGCGCGAGCUCCUCCAGUUCUGUGUUCAUUGUACAGCGCAUUGGGGCUCAGCCGCAUCUGUCUCCCUCUGCAAGCGCAGAUGCCAGCAGCACCGGCACGGAGGGGGCAACAGUUGACGUGGGACACACUGAUGCCUCUUCGGCGACGGCCUUCAAGUGGGUGCGCGCCUCCUCAGCGGCGGCCGCAGACGACGUUGCCGAAUACCCUCCAGUAGCAGGGGCGGGGAUGGAGCACGCACAAGCGAGAACCGACGCGGGUGUGCAGGCCAAUCUUGAGGAGAGGGGAGGAAGUGAUGGCGGCGCCGGAAGCAGCCGUAACGCUGCGGGCAAUGAAGACGACCGCUGCAGUGGCCGUUCGCACUCUGCCGGCGCUGCGGUGUUUGUGGACGUGCAAUUUUUGUGCGAAAAAGAUUCCGCCGUGGAUGAACGCGCUAAGAAGGACGGCGAUGUGCUGCGUCCGUCACACCUGGCACCGCAGCCGGCGGAGCCGUCGCUUCCGCCUUAUGCGACUGCUCGCACGAGUACAGAUGUGCCAGUGCCGGCGCGUGGGGCUGCAACAGCGAUGACCACAAGCCCCAGCGUUACCACCACCACGACGCCGUUGAGCAAUGACCAUGGCGCACAGCACAGCACCGCAGUUCGCUCUCCUGCGCCGGAAUCCAUCACGGCACAUCGUCACACUGAUGAGGAGCAGCCACGAUCGCGUCGGAACGCGCGCACCACAUCCUCGUCGGGUGCCUCAUCAGGGUCCUUCUUUUACUCGCUGCCUCGCCAAGGCACUGCCCGUGCUAUGAGCAGCGACGAGAGACGAGAGCAGCAGCUGCUGCACCAGGCCAACACCACUGGUGAGAUAACCUCACCUGUUCACCGGCGAACCGAGGCGGCGCCAGCACCACACGCGUGGCACCAGCGCCCAUGGGAGCAGCCUCGCACCGAUGAGGAUACAGGGUCCACGGCAGCUGACGUAUCCUUUCUGAGAGAGGCGUGGCACGGUGGCUGCUCGUCUGACGUAGGUGGCGGAAUUCGCCCUGAUGACCACAGCCAGAGGGCCUCAACGAGGGGCUCCAUGCGCGGUUGCUCUAGCGGCAGCAGGGACUCGGCUGAGGAUGCGGCACGCCACUCCGCGGCGGUGCCAGCGGCCCCGAAGCAGCCCGCAAUCUCGUGGACAAUCCCGCUAGACUGGGCAGACAGCCUGGAUGAGAUGGAUUCCCGAUACCCCUCAGCAGCGCAUGCAACCCCUGACGUCUCCAUCGUCUCUUCCGUCCCAUCCUCCGCGGCGACGCACAGCGACAGGUGUGCCUCAGCGAGAGCAUCGCAUCGCUACCAGAAGACCCGCGGCAGGGCUCCGCGCCGCCGCCUGCCUCCCCACCUACGUCCUGGUCGUCCGUGGGCUCACCUUCUGACUCGUGGUCUCCGGGCAGUCUUCUUUUCGGCCAGCAGCAGCAGCACCGGCAGCAACGAUGGCAGAGGAGAGGCUUGUGCGCAUGCAGCAAAGCAUGCAACGGGGCCUGGCGAGGCAGCUUGCGCGGAUGCUGGGGCCCAGGCCACCUCCUUCACGGCCGUGCUGUCCGCUGUGCCACGAAGGUCUGGGCCUUGGUAUGCUACACCGGCGCAAGGCACCAAGAAGGAGCACCAUGCUGCGCCUGUGGUCCUCGCUAAGGCCGCACCGCGGCAGCCUCGUCGCUCAGUCUGCAAGGUUUCAGCAGCACACAAUGCAGAAAAGGCGCGUGGAUUUGAAGAAUGGACAAGGCCUGGAGCCGGCACUCAGAGCAUAGAUGUGCUGCGGGAGUCGGCAUCAUCGUACGCGACAGUGAAUAGGUCGAAGGUGCCGACUACCACCACGUAUGCCACGCCAGGGAGGCGCUGGCCUGCAGGCUUCGGUGUAUCACCAUCGCCAGUGCGCACUCGUACGCUGCCACCCCCGCCCUGCAGCGCUGCUUCUGCUGCCACUGCGACUGGCUUGCAGACCCGCACAGCCUCGGCACCGACGUACUCCGCUGCAGAGGCGGCACGCAACACCGCUGAAAGUUUGCUGCAGUUACGUCGACAACGGCAGCCAGCAGGGCUCACGUACGUGCAGCUGUAUGAGCGGGGGCGCUCCUUGCAUCUUAGGGCGCCCGCGAGCGUGUGGCGCCCCAGCUCGGCGACAAGAGCCGUUAUCGCAGGCGGCAUGCGGGCAUGGCAGGCCGCCCCUACUCCCAUUCGCGAGGGUGUCUGCGGCAGAGAUGCGGCAUCCCCGCGCAGCGCGGUGGUGUGGCGGCUAACAGGAGCCCCGCGACCGCGCGUUACUGAGGAGGGACGUGCAGUUCGGCAGCAGGAGCAGUGGGAGCUCCCCCUCAUAUCGACGCCUCAUGAAGCGGUGGCUGCUCGUCGGUUGUCCGAGCCUUCCCCGUAUCAGCCGCGUCGUCUGUCCGCCGCCGGUAUUCGCGGCGGGAUGGCAAGCGAUGCUUCAUCAAGCGCACCAACGGAUGCGGCGCGUCAGACCGAGUAUGCAGUCGAAAGCGUGCGUGCCAGUAAUGUCGUACAAGCACAGUCGUCGCCAUCCCUCUCUGGAACACCGCCAUCGUCGUCGCCCUUCUCGCUGCCGCCUCCACCGCCCACAGUAGCCACCGCUCCCCGUCAUGCCGCACCGACAGCCCCGUCGAUGAAGAAUGCAGCAGAGGAAGGCGCCGGGGACGACGACGAAGCCUGCAAGCCGUUGGAAGCGCGUGACAAGGCGGCCUCGACAGCGCACACCUCUGAGCUGGCACAUGGCAUAACCUCAUUGGGGCACGUUGGCUUCAGCGCGACAGCAGCGGCAGGGGAAGAAGGUGCCACUCAGGGUCGAGACGAGACGGAGCAGGGCGAAGAGAGCGAUGGGGAGGGCUUGUUGAGGACCAGAUCGGAUGCCGCUAGCCGCAGCGCUCUGCGCGUCUCGGCCCCUACUCCAGCGCCCUCGCAGUCGCCACAGCAGCCACCAGGAGCUUCACUGCAGCGCACCCCCGCCGAUGUCACUCCAACGGCUGCCUCCACGGUUGCCGAUGCAGAGCAUCAUCAUGCGGCGAAGACAACUCAACUUCUGCCCACCCCGCCUGGUGACGAACCUGAGCACGGCCCUCAGCCGCAGCCACUGUUACCAUCACCGCACGCGCUCGGGCCUCUUCAGGUAGUCCUUUCCGAAGAGGGUGAAGCAAAUGCAGCGGGGCUCGUAGAGCCCCACGCUGGCAGCGAUGAUGCAGCACAGCUCCUCUCGCAACAAGGCCCUACUGAGCCGUUCAGGGGAGACCAAGCAGCAACAGGAAAAACCGAACGUGGACACGGAUUCGUCUUAGCUGUCGUGGGGACUGCAGAGAUGAGCCACACCGUUGCCAGUAACCUUGGUGCGCGCACACCUGGGACAGCGGCGAAUCCCUACGGCAGCAUCGAUGCGGCUGGUCAGGGCCAGGAUGUUGGGGUGCGUACCAGCCGUGCGGGGACACCUGUGGAUCAGGAAAGUCUCUUGAGUCCCGACACGGAUGCAGCGCUGCUCUCCAUCUUUCCCGCGCCACCCAUGGCGAGUGAAGUGCACGCUGGGCAUUGCACCCCCUCAGCCCCGUCUCCGUUUUCGCCGGCGACGGCGGUGUCUGCUUUUACUAUCGCUUCCGCGUCAGGACUUGCUACAAGCGCGGAUAUACGUUGCCAGUCAGGGGCACCGAGCACCCAUCAACUGUCACACUUACACGUUGCUGAUGAAAGCCCUGCCCCUCUACCACAGCCGGCCCAGCUUACUCCUCAGCCAUCACCGAGAGCCGCAGAACCACGCGCAGGCGCAGCGAGUGCAGCGGAUGGCAACGAUCGCGUCAUACCCCCACCCCCGAAGCAGCAGCAGCGACGUGAGGUACUGGAGAACCGCAUCGCACGGCUCGAAGCGACACUGAUGCUGCAGCGACAGCAGCGGCAGCAGACCGAGCUAAGUCGCUUUCGGGACCACGACCACGACAAGGAAGUGUCGGCGGACUACUUCGAGGCUGCAACGGAUGGCGACGAGGAUCUCUUGCGGAGCGCCUGUGGAAAAGGCGUAGAGUUGCGAAGGCGUAAUAUGCAAUCAUCCCAGCCACGCGGGCGGGGUCGCAGUGUCGAUAGCGUUGGAGGCCGCAGCGCUGUCGCUCUCAGCGCAAAGGGAAGAGGAGCGUCAGGGCAAGCCCAGAGGAGUAUGCUAUCGGCGCCGCAGGCACAGGAUCACCAUCUGCUCGCGCCAGCGUCUGCCAUCUACUGGGCGGCUCGACCUGGAUUCUGCGCUAGCGGCGGCGCCAGGGGCACUGGGGCUGUCCGCAGACGUGGUCUACGCGACGCAGCUGCUCCUUCUGCCCCGCACAUGGACCACGGCAACCGGAGCGGCUUGGCGGUUGCCUUACCCUCCCAGGAAGCUGUUUCUGCAAGCGCGGCACCUGGCGCCAGCAUUGCGUCGUACACGCGGCUUGCAUAUCGUCGGUAUGGCUCGGCGGCUGCGUUCGCGGUCGCGACGCCGGCAGAUCCGAGGUACAGCCACGCCACUACGUCUUUCCUAAUAAGCGCGGACUGGCGCUAUCAGCGCAUGUACGUGGAUAGCAUGUACUUCCCGGAAGCAACCGCUGGCAGCGCAUCGCGGGGUGCCGAAGCGGCAAGCGAAGCUCACAAAGAGGAGAGCAGCUGGUUGGAAGCCACCAGUGGCGCGCCAGAGGAUCCGGCAAACAGCGAAAGCGGACGGGCCACACCGGCCGCAGCUGUGCGACGCGCCUCCUCUGCGAACAACCGCGAUGCUGAUGUCUUUGUAUGUCGGCCUCUUCGCUGAAGCAGCGAGGAACUAAAAAAGUCGUGCCGCUAUGAGCGUCUGCUCAUCCCGCCGCCUGCCCACGCGCAAGGCGAAGAGGCGAGGGGCGCAUGUUUUGUUGCUGUUGUUGUUGCUGCGUGUACGUCCUUGUGUCAGUGGGCCGUGGGGUGUUGUAGUCAUCGCUCGUC
rnacentral:misc_RNA from 1 species